AUGGAAGAUGAGAAGGCAUAUGACAACAUAUCAGGGCUGCCAGACAUAUGUGCCGAAGCACGUGAGUUGAAGAUCAGCCAGCUCCAAUGCCCUGUCUGGUGUAGUUCAUGGCAGCAAGAAAAGCCACCUGGUCCCAGCUUGGUGCAGUCGUACAUGUCGGAACAGACGGUGGAGUUGGUGCAGCUGGUGGCGAUGCAGGCUGGUAGAACACCGCAAGGUCAGUUGGUGGAAGGCUGGUGCCAGGGCAUGGGUGGUGCAGGGGCGCGGACGUGGUAUAUGCCUGUGGUGGCGGUUAUGGACCCAGAAGACCAGGUGCUCCAGUAUGCCUGGACGACACCAGUCCCCGGAUCAGCUGAUGGUGGUCGCCACGACAGAGUGUCUGGAGGUGUUGAACUGCUCUUGGUGCGCUGGAGGAUGGAGCCGAGGAAGCAAUUAUGUCUACAUUUUCAAAAUAGUACUAUAACAGAAUCACUUUUCUACCUGUUCUUGUUUAUGCCCAUUUGGUAUAUUUUCUUUGCCUGCUAG
rnacentral:rRNA from 1 species